GAUGAACGCUAGCGGGAGGCCUAACACAUGCAAGCCGAGCGGUAUUUGUCUUUCGGGACAGAGAGAGCGGCGUACGGGUGCGGAACACGUGUGCAACCUGCCUUUAUCAGGGGGAUAGCCUUUCGAGUGGAAGAUUAAUACCCCAUAAUAUAUUGAAUGGCAUCAUUUGAUAUUGAAAACUCCGGUGGAUAGAGAUGGGCACGCGCAAGAUUAGAUAGUUGGUAGGGUAACGGCCUACCAAGUCAGUGAUCUUUAGGGGGCCUGAGAGGGUGAUCCCCCACACUGGUACUGAGACACGGACCAGACUCCUACGGGAGGCAGCAGUGAGGAAUAUUGGACAAUGGGUGAGAGCCUGAUCCAGCCAUCCCGCGUGAAGGACGACGGCCCUAUGGGUUGUAAACUUCUUUUGUAUAGGGAUAAACCUAGAUACGUGUAUCUCGCUGAAGGUACUAUACGAAUAAGCACCGGCUAACUCCGUGCCAGCCGCCGCAGUAA
rnacentral:rRNA from 1 species